UGGUUGGACAAGAAAUAAUCUGUCUUAAUUUAACAUAUUGAAUUUAACUUUUAAGUGAAAAGGCUUAAAUGAUCUGAAGGGACGAUAAGACCCUAUAAAACUUUAUACUUAUAAAUAUAGUAGUCAGUUUUAUGUAGUGUUAUUAUUUUGAGGUAUUCGGUUGGGGUGACAAGGAUAAAAUAAAAAAUAACUGUCUUUUUUGUUUACAAAGAUAUUUGGUUAGAUGAUCCUAAGAAUGGAUUAUAAGAUUAAGUUACUUUAGGGAUAACAGCGUAAUUUUCUUUAAGAGUUCUUAUCGACAAGAAAGUUUGCGACCUCGAAUGUUGAAUUAAG
rnacentral:rRNA from 1 species